GCUUCUACUUUAACUGCAAUUAAAACAAUAGUACUAGACAACUUUAAGUAGAAAGCAUUUAAUUUAUUUCUUCACUUAUUUGUAGAGUGAACAAAUGAUUCACAAUUCUGGAAAUAAUUCCACUUAGGUAACUUAACAGUUGUUAGGUUUGACAAUAAAGAUAUACUAUGAGAGGAGAAGAGUUUAUGGGUUUGGGGUGGAAGGAAUUUCUGGAAGAAAUAAAAAAUGUUCUUUGCCCUUGAUAUUGCAAACUCACUGAUACAAGUGCCUUGAAUUUACUACUAUUAUUAUUAUUAUUAUUAUUAGAGAUGGAGUUUCACUCAUGCCUCCCAGGCUAGGGUACAAUGGCGUGAUCUCAGCUCAGUGAAACCUCUGCCUCCCAGGAGAAUGGCGUGAACCCGGGAGGCGGAGCUUGCAGUGAGCCGAGAUCCUGCCUCUGCACUGCAGCCUGGGCGACAGAGGGAGACUCCGUCUCAAAAAAAAAAAAAAAAAAAAAGUAGAGAUGGGAUUUCUAGCCUCCUAAAUUAAUUUAGCCUCCCAAAUGCCAGACAAACAAUCUAACAUAAAAUUUACCUUGAAUAAGAUAUAUUGAUUCUGAGCCGCUUUGUAUUUUUUCUAACUUUGGCAUCUGUAUCUUGGUGCUUUCUGUUAGACUGAUAGUCUCUUGUACUUCAGCGCUAACUUUUUUCUUCAUUACUUUCUGUGUAUAUAGACAGCAUAUUUUUUUGUAGAACAUUAACCCAGAUUGCUAAUAGCUUCAUGUUACGGCAUUCUUCCACACAGUCCAGAUUGAUUUAAGGAAAAGCAGAAGUAGAAGUCAAAGUGUGUUAUAAAUUGAGACUGAAAAACAUGCUUUAAAAAAUAGAUUUAAUUUCUUACACUGUGAAUAGCCAUUGUAUUGUUUUGUUUCUGAUAAAUCAGUUGUUUUGGGCUCCUAUUUUUGAACUGUUAAAAAUGUUGAUGCUUUUCGUGGAUAAAAGUAGUGCCUCUUUAUACAACUGAUGGGGUUUUAAAAAGUAUGUAAGCUGCCUUUUUUGUUAAACUUAUUUUAAAUGCUUUAGUAUUUAAAGGGUGUAUGUUAUGAAUUAAUCUGCAUAUUUAAAAACUUUUUGUAAAGCGAAUAACUACUUCCUGAUUUACAUCUCAAUAUAUUCUCCUUUCAUUUGCCCAAUUUAAAAAAUAUGUAGUCUCUAUUGUUGCUGUUUACCAAUAGUUUUAGAUCCCAAUGUGUAUUAGAAUUAUAGCUACAAAAAUUUGCAAGUAAAAUUUAGCAAUUUCCUAUUGAAACAUGAUCUCAUUAUUAUGUUUUUUAAUAUGUAGAAUAGACACUUUAAAUAAACAGGUGUGAAAAUUGUAAAGGAAUAUAUAUGACAACUAUUUUCUGUACAUUAAUGUCUAAACAUUAUGCUUACUUGUUUUUCAUAAUAAAGACAUUUUGGAACCAA
rnacentral:lncRNA from 1 species